AUUGGGGAAGCUAAGAUGUGAAGCUUGUCCCUUCGGGGACAUCCGAUAAAAUUGGAACGAUACAGAGAAGAUUAGCAUGGCCCCUGCGCAAGGAUGACACGCACAAAUCGAGAAAUGGUCCAAAUUUUUUUUCUAAUCUCUGCUACUUUGCUCUCUCGCUGGCUUCCUUUCUCAUCUUCUUUUUUAAAUGUCAGGUGGGUGUGGAGACGGAAGUAACAGUGGCGAGAGGGUAGCCAAAGAAGAGAGCUUUCAAGAAGUUCAGUUCAGAGGCGUUGAUUUAGGUGCUUUCCUUGACAUGUCCACCGAUGUACUUGUCAAGCUCUUUCCCGCCGGAGCGGGCUGCAGGGUUUUGGGUUUAUUGCAACAACGGGUUUCAAAGAGGUGUGAAGAGGAAGCCAAUGACAUCGAUCAUGAAAUUGCGUAAAGCUGUAAGGUAAUUUCUUUUCUUCCAUCUCUCUCUGUAUUUGUUUAUGACUUCAUAAGAUAGCAAUUCACACUGUGCAAUUUGGUAUUGAGUAGUGUUAUCAUGUGUUCAUUUCACAUUAUGGGAUGUGUUUUCUUUUCUUUAUCUCUUCACUCUGUCUCUUGUUUGUGUUUAUCAAGUUUGCUCUGCAAUUGCAAUCAUGGUGCUUGAAAAGUUAUCGAAGAAGAAGCUCGAGUUUAUAACAGAAGGGCUGGUUUAUUCAAUAGAAGUUAGAAACGAUAUGUAUAGCUAUUAAUUGAAUAGAGUUCUGAUGACUGCCUCUGCGGUGUAACCAUUCUGCGUGCUUGCUUCCAUACCCUUCCAUGCAUGUAUUCAUGUAUGUGCAGUGCAGGUCACUGAAUUUUCAUUUGGGACUUGUUUGUGAAAAAUGCAUCAAACUAUGACCAUUUAUAAAACAGAGAUUCUAAAGCUGGUUCCAAAUCAAGUUGCCUUACAAGAAUAUUUUAAAUUUCCGGUUCAACCCUCAUGGUAUGGUAUAUUUUGAGUAUAGUCUGUGGUCUACUCUGUUUUUUGGUGGCUUGGAACAGAAAAGGGAGGCCCGGAUGGGGAGAAGCCAGAGCCCUUGAGGACUCAUCUUAGAAAUAUGAUCAUUGUGCCGGAGAUGAUUGGCCAUUAUCUUCCCGAGUUCCCAAUUUCUUACAAGCCCGUUAUGCAUGGAAGACUGGUAUUGGUGCAACACGCUCUUUCAGUUUCAUUUCAUUCCUCUCUAGUGAAAUGGGGCACUUACUUUGGGUGGAUGUGGAUUUUUCUGCACCUUUUUUCUUUCUCUAGUUAGGUUUUUGAUGAAUUGUUCUUGUGAACUUGUUAUGAUUACAUAAGCAUAUCCAGGGAAGCUAUGCGAUUGCAUUAGAAAUUAUAUUAUUAGUGAAAGCUGUUUCAAAUUACUCUU